GUAUUUUCGAUUGCUUAAAUAAAAUCGUGGACACUUUUCUUCUUUCCCAUUCACCUUGGGCAUAUUGUUGAUGACACAGGUAUUUCCCAUUUCAGGAAUGACCAUACCUGAAGAAGACGCUGAUGUGGGACAAGGCAGUAAAUAUUGCCUCGUGGCAAUUGGGAGACUCCAGGUGACCAGCUCUCCUGUAUGCAUGGACAUGAAUGGGAUGUCAGUGCCCACAGAGUUCUUAUCCCGGCAUAACUCCGAUGGAAUCAUCACGUUUGUGGAUCCAAGAUGUAUCAGUGUGAUUGGCUACCAACCCCAGGAUCUUCUGGGAAAGGACAUUUUGGAGUUCUGCCACCCUGAGGAUCAAAGCCAUCUGCGUGAGAGCUUCCAGCAGGUGGUUAAGCUGAAAGGCCAAGUCCUGUCGGUCAUGUAUCGAUUUCGCACCAAGAACCGGGAGUGGAUGUUGAUCCGCACCAGCAGCUUCACAUUCCAGAAUCCCUAUUCUGAUGAGAUUGAGUACAUCAUCUGCACCAACACCAAUGUCAAGCAACUUCAGCAACAGCAGGCAGAAUUGGAAGUACAC
rnacentral:sRNA from 1 species